rnacentral:rRNA from 2 species
CAACAGGGAUUCCCCUAGUAACGGCGAGUGAAGCGGGAACAGCUCAAAUUUGAAAUCUGGCCCUUGGGUCCGAGUUGUAAUUUGCAGAGGAUGCUUUUGGUGCGGUGCCUUCCGAGUUCCCUGGAACGGGACGCCUUAGAGGGUGAGAGCCCCGUACGGUUGGCCACCAAGCCUGUGUAAAGCUCCUUCGACGAGUCGAGUAGUUUGGGAAUGCUGCUCAAAAUGGGAGGUAUAUUUCUUCUAAAGCUAAAUACUGGCCAGAGACCGAUAGCGCACAAGUAGAGUGAUCGAAAGAUGAAAAGCACUUUGAAAAGAGGGUUAAAUAGCACGUGAAAUUGUUGAAAGGGAAGGAUUUAUGACCAGACUUUUUCUGGGGGGAUCAUCCGGUGUUCUCACCGGUGCACUUCCCCCAGUUGAGGCCAGCAUCGGUUUCUGCCGGGGGAUAAAAGCUUUGGGAAUGUGGCUCCUUCGGGAGUGUUAUAGCCCGUUGCAUAAUACCCUGGCGGGGACCGAGGUUCGCGCAUUGCAAGGAUGCUGGCGUAAUGGUUAUUAAUCACCCGUCUUGAAACACGGACCAAGGAGUCGAACAUUUGUGCGAGUGUUUGGGUGUUAAACCCUCACGCGUAAUGAAAGUGAACGGAGGUGAGAGCCUUUAGGGGUGCAUCAUCGACCGAUCCUGAUGUCUUCGGAUGGAUUUGAGUAAGAGCAUAACUGUUCGGACCCGAAAGAUGGUGAACUAUGCGUGGAUAGGGUGAAGCCAGAGGAAACUCUGGUGGAGGCUCGCAGCGGUUCUGACGUGCAAAUCGAUCGUCAAAUCUGCGCAUGGGGGCGAAAGACUAAUCGAACCAUCUAGU